rnacentral:rRNA from 1 species
CAGUCGCCACGGUAAAACGGAGGGUGCUAGCGUCGUUCGGAAUUACUGGGCGUAAAGGGUGCGUAGGCGGUUUGGCAAGUUUGGUGUGAAAUCUUCGGGCUCAACUCGAAGUCUGCAUCGAAAACUGCCGGGCUUGAGUAUGGGAGAGGUGAGUGGAAUUUCCGGUGUAGCGGUGAAAUGCGUAGAUAUCGGAAGGAACACCUGUGGCGAAAGCGGCUCACUGGACCAUAACUGACGCUGAUGCACGAAAGCUAGGGGAGCAAACAGGAUUAGAUACCCGGGUAGUCCCUGUCUCUUAUAC